AGGGCAUGAUUCAAAAUCUUCCAUCAAAGACAGCUCCAGCCAAGUUCAUUUUUAUGAUCCUGUUUUGUGAAGCACACUUGAUUUUUUUCACAGUUCAACAGAUUUAAAACAUGAUAAAGAGUUUGGAGGGCAGUGAUAAUCUAUGGACUUGUGCAGAUCUGUCAAGGUGUCGAGAGGAAGCAAUUGCUUCUUUGACCUUGGCAACCACCAUUCUACUCUCUACGUCUGUGAAUUGGACUAUUUCAGAUUCCUCAGGUUUGUGAAAUUUGGUGAAUGAGUGUGCAGUUAUGGAGACAAUAUUGAAGACAUUAAGUAGUAUUUCUGCAACUUCUCUUGCUAUAAAACAUCACAGGAGGAGGUUCCAAGAUGGCCGAAUAGGAGUAGCUCCAGUCUACAGCUCCCAGCAUGAGCAACGCAGAAGAUGGGUGAUUUCUGUCUUUCCAACUGAGGUACAAGGUUCAUCUCACUGGGGCUUGUUGGACAGUGGAUGCAGCCCAUGAAGUGUGAGGCAAAGUAGGGCGGGUCAUUGCCUCACCUGGGAAGCACAGGGAGUCAGGGAAUUCCCUUUCCUAGCCAAUGGAAGCCAUGACAGACGGUACCUGGAAAAUCGGGACACUCCCACCCUAAUACUGCACUUUUCCAGUGGUCUUAGCAAAUGGCACACUGGGAGACUAUAUCCCACGUCUGGUUCAGAGGGUCCCACACCCAUGGAGCCUCACUUACUGCUAGCAGAGCAGUCUGAGAUCGAACUGCAAGGUGGCAGUGAGGCUGGGGGAAUGGGUCUGCCAUUGCUGAGGCUUGAGUAGGUAAACAAAGCGGCAAGGAAGCUUGAACCGGGUGGAGCCCACCGCAGCUCAAGGAGGCCUGCCUGCUUCUGUAGACUCCACCUCUGGGAGCAGGGUAUAGCCAAAUAAAAGGCAGCAGAAUCUUCUGCAGAUUUAAACAUCCCUGUCCGACAGCUUUGAAGAGAGUAGUGGUUCUCCCAGCAUGGAGUUUGAGAUUGGAGAACAGACAGACUGCCUCCUCAAGUGGGUCCCUGACCCCUGAGUAGCUUAACUGGGAGACACCUCCCAGUAGGGGCUGACUGACACCUCAUACAGCCAGGUGCCCCUCUGAGACGAAGUUUCCAGAGGAAGAAUCAGGCAGCAACAUUUGCUGUUCUGCAAUAUUUGCUGUUCUGCAGCCUCUGCUGGUGAUACCCAGGCAAGCAGGAUCUGGAGUGGCCCUCCAGCAAAUUCCAACAGAUUUGCAGCUGAGGGUCCUGACUGUUAGAAGGAAAACUAACAAAAAAGAAAGGACAUCCACACCAAAACCCCAUCUGUACAUCACUAUCAUCAAAGACCAAAAGUAGAUAAAGCACAAAGAUGGGGAGAAACCAGAGCAGAAAAGUUGAAAAUUCCAAAAAUCAGAGCUCCUCUUCUCCUCCAAAGGAAUGCAGCUCCUCACCAGCAAUGGAACAAAGCUGGAUGGAGAAUGACUUUGAUGAGUUGAGAGAAGAAGGCUUCAUAUGAUUGGUAAUAACAAACUCCUCCAACCUAAAGGAGGAUUUUGAACCUAUCACAAAGAAGCUAAAAACCUUGAAAAAAGAUUAGACAAAUGGCUAACUAGAAUAAACAGUGUAAAGAAGACCUUAAAUGACCUUAAAUGGAGCUGAAAAUCAUGGCAUGAGAACUAGGUGACGCAUGCACAAGCUUCAGUAGCCAAUUUGAUCAAGUGGAAGAAAGGGUAUCAGUGAUUGAAGAUCAAAUGAAUGAAAUGAAGUGAGAAGAGAAGUUUAGAGAAAAAAAAAGAGUAAAAGGAAAUGAACAAAGCCUCCAAAAAAUAUGGGACUAUGUGAAAAGACCAAAUCUAUGUCUGAGUGGUGUACCUGAAAGUGAUGGGGAGAAUGGAACCAAGUUGGAAAACACUGUUCAGGAUGUUAUCCAGGAGAACUUCCUCAACCUAUCAAAGCAGGCCAACAUUCAAAUUCAGGAAAUACAGAGAACACCACAAAGAUACUCCUUGAGAAGAGCAACUCCAAGACACAUAAU
rnacentral:lncRNA from 10 species